UCCUUCGGGAUGAGUACAGCGGCGAACGGGUGAGUAACGCGUGGGAAUCUACCCUUUAGUGAAGAAUACCCUCGAGAAAUCGAGGUUAAUACUGCAUACGUUCCUUCGGGAAGAAAGCUGGCCUCUUUGCUGGCGCUAAAGGUUGAGCCUACGUACUAUUAGUUAGUUGGUGAGGUAAUGGCUCACCAAGACGAUGAUGGUUAGCCGGCCUGAGAGGGCGUACGGCCACACUGGAACUUAGACACGUCCAGACUCCUACGGGAGGCAGCAGUGGGGAAUAUUGCGCAAUGGGCGAAAGCCUGACGCAGCGACGCCGCGUGGAGGAUGAAGGUCUUCGGAUUGUAAACUUCUGUUAAGUGAGAGGAAAUACCCAUACUUAAUACGUAUGGGGGAUGACUGUAUCAUUAGAGAAAGCACCGGCUAAACUCGUGCCAGCAGCCGCGGUAAUACGAGUGGUGCAAGCGUUAUUCGGAAUAAUUGGGCGUAAAGGGUGUGUAGACGGCAUGUUAAGUCAAUUGUUAAAUUCUCCGGCCUAACCGGAGGCAAGCAGUAGAAACUGGCGUGCUAGAGGGUGGAAGAGAGAGGCGGAAUUCUCGGAGUAGCGGUAAAAUGCGUAGAUCUCGAGAGGAACACCAAUGGCGAAGGCAGCCUCUUGGUCCAUUUCUGACGUUGAAACACGAAAGCGUGGGGAGCAAACAGGAUUAGAUACCCUGGUAGUCCACGCCGUAAACGAUGAUCACUAGACGUUAGUUCUGUUUUUACGGAAUUAGUGUCGCAGCUAACGCGUUAAGUGAUCCGCCUGGGAAUUACGGUCGCAAGAUUAAAACUCAAAGGAAUUGAC
rnacentral:rRNA from 1 species